UACGAAGGGUGCAAGCGUUAAUCGGAAUUACUGGGCGUAAAGCGCACGCAGGCGGUUGGAUAAGUUAGAUGUGAAAGCCCCGGGCUCAACCUGGGAAUUGCAUUUAAAACUGUCCAGCUAGAGUCUUGUAGAGGGGGGUAGAAUUCCAGGUGUAGCGGUGAAAUGCGUAGAGAUCUGGAGGAAUACCGGUGGCGAAGGCGGCCCCCUGGACGAAGACUGACGCUCAGGUGCGAAAGCGUGGGGAGCAAACAGGAUUAGAUACCCUGGUAGUCCACGCCGUAAACGAUGUCGACUUGGAGGUUGUGCCCUUGAGGCGUGGCUUCCGGAGCUAACGCGUUAAGUCGACCGCCUGGGGAGUACGGCCGCAAGGUUAAA
rnacentral:rRNA from 1 species